CAGCCGCCACGGGAAUACGUAGGGUGCGAGCGUUAAUCGGAAUUACUGGGCGUAAAGCGUGCGCAGGCGGUUCGUUAAGACAGAUGUGAAAUCCCCGGGCUUAACCUGGGAACUGCAUUUGUGACUGGCGAGCUAGAGUAUGGCAGAGGGGGGUAGAAUUCCACGUGUAGCAGUGAAAUGCGUAGAGAUGUGGAGGAAUACCGAUGGCGAAGGCAGCCCCCUGGGCCAAUACUGACGCUCAUGCACGAAAGCGUGGGGAGCAAACAGGAUUAGAUACCCCCGUAGUCCCUGUCUCUUAUAC
rnacentral:rRNA from 1 species